GGGUAAAAGCAGACAAAAAAAAAGAGGGAAAGCCUUAAUCUCUGAGCGCCAAACUAAAAACUAGAGAGAGAAAGAAAUUUUCAUUUUGCGCCAUCAAAUAAAUCACCCAAAAUUUGAGUGCCAUAACCAAAUCAGUGAAUUUGAGCCCUCAUAACCCAAAAAUUUCAAGAAAAAUCAAAACCCUCCAUCGUUUUCUCUUUCCUCCAUCGUUCUCUCUCUUCAGAACCAGAACAAACUUCUCUGAUUCAACAUCAACAAUGGAGGGUGAGAAAAACUUGAAUUUCCGACAAGGUUUGCUGGUAGGAAUCGUUGGUCUCAGAUUGAUUGUAGGAAGUGUUGCAGUGAUCCUGGGCCUUUUCCAUGUACAUGUUGCUUGGACGUUUUACAAUUGACAAAUUCGACCAAUUUUUAUUGCUUUUGAUUGUGGAAUUUGCUGAAAUUCAACACUACCAGAUAUUUGCAUUCAUUCAUAUCCAGUUUACUUAAAGGAGGUUCGUGAAUCUACAAGCUCAAACGAGCUUCAGACUCUUAGGUGGGUAUUACCGUAUUACUUGUGAUGAUCAGAACCUAAUCUGAUUAACUUAAAAUGAGGAUAAACAUCUAACUUCUUCAAAUGUGUAUUUAAGCCUUAUUCUCUUCACCGCAUUUGUUUUAUUGUCCGUAUAAAAGGACAGUUUGGAAUUAGAAAGUAGUGGAUUGCGUAGAGUUUUGUUGUGUAAAAGAAGACUAGAACCAUGGUUCAUUUGUGGUUGCUAAACAAGGGAUUUCAUAUGCAUGCUUUUGGUUUGUUAGAUAGAUAUUCUAGCUAAGUUAACCUUGCUAAUAUGUUCUGGCUAUCAUGCAUAUUUUUCCAUGUACCAGCAAUCAUUGUUGUUGGUUUGAUGGGCUUAAUUGUUGACAUUCCUUCUUUCACUGUCAUUGCGAUAAAAACAAGUCCUUUAAUGUUACUAAAAGGAUGGCAGCGACUAACACAUGACCUUAUUAGUCGCCAGGGCCCUUUUCUUGAAACAACUUGUAUUCCAAUUGUUGCUCGUCUCAAGCGCUCCGGCAAGCUUGAAAAGGAAUGGCAAACGAGAAAAUCACAUCAAGCGGCCAACGAGAUCUUGGUGUUGAGGUGUAAGAAUGUUGGUUUGCACUCAAAUGCAUCCGUCAAUCGUUAUUAGCUCUCAAAGUCUAAUGAAAAACUAGUUUUAGAGUACCAAAUUCAUUUACUUUCUUGUAAAAUGGUAUUGAAAAUUUAAAGUCGUGUACCAAAUAACUUGAUUUAGUUCAUUUACCAUCUUGUAAAAUGGAAUUGAAAAUUUAGAGUCAAUUACCAAAUUUAUUUACUAUGUUGUAAAAUGGUAUUGGAAAUGGUACUGAAAAUUUACCGUCGA